GGAGAGAUGGCCGAGUGGUCUAUGGCGGCGCACUCGAAAUGCGCUAAGCGGGCAAAACCUGCUUCGGGGGUUCGAAUCCCUUUCUCUCCG
rnacentral:tRNA from 1 species